AGAGUUUGAUCAUGGCUCAGAUUGAACGCUGGCGGCAGGCCUAACACAUGCAAGUCGAACGGUAACAGGAAACAGCUUGCUGUUUCGCUGACGAGUGGCGGACGGGUGAGUAAUGUCUGGGAAACUGCCUGAUGGAGGGGGAUAACUACUGGAAACGGUAGCUAAUACCGCAUAACGUCGCAAGACCAAAGAGGGGGACCUUCGGGCCUCUUGCCAUCGGAUGUGCCCAGAUGGGAUUAGCUUGUUGGUGGGGUAACGGCUCACCAAGGCGACGAUCCCUAGCUGGUCUGAGAGGAUGACCAGCCACACUGGAACUGAGACACGGUCCAGACUCCUACGGGAGGCAGCAGUGGGGAAUAUUGCACAAUGGGCGCAAGCCUGAUGCAGCCAUGCCGCGUGUAUGAAGAAGGCCUUCGGGUUGUAAAGUACUUUCAGCGGGGAGGAAGGGAGUAAAGUUAAUACCUUUGCUCAUUGACGUUACCCGCAGAAGAAGCACCGGCUAACUCCGUGCCAGCAGCCGCGGUAAUACGGAGGGUGCAAGCGUUAAUCGGAAUUACUGGGCGUAAAGCGCACGCAGGCGGUUUGUUAAGUCAGAUGUGAAAUCCCCGGGCUCAACCUGGGAACUGCAUCUGAUACUGGCAAGCUUGAGUCUCGUAGAGGGGGUAGAAUUCCAGGUGUAGCGGUGAAAUGCGUAGAGAUCUGGAGGAAUACCGGUGGCGAAGGCGGCCCCCUGGACGAAGACUGACGCUCAGGUGCGAAAGCGUGGGGAGCAAACAGGAUUAGAUACCCUGGUAGUCCACGCCGUAAACGAUGUCGACUUGGAGGUUGUGCCCUUGAGGCGUGGCUUCCGGAGCUAACGCGUUAAGUCGACCGCCUGGGGAGUACGGCCGCAAGGUUAAAACUCAAAUGAAUUGACGGGGGCCCGCACAAGCGGUGGAGCAUGUGGUUUAAUUCGAUGCAACGCGAAGAACCUUACCUGGUCUUGACAUCCACGGAAGUUUUCAGAGAUGAGAAUGUGCCUUCGGGAACCGUGAGACAGGUGCUGCAUGGCUGUCGUCAGCUCGUGUUGUGAAAUGUUGGGUUAAGUCCCGCAACGAGCGCAACCCUUAUCCUUUGUUGCCAGCGGUCCGGCCGGGAACUCAAAGGAGACUGCCAGUGAUAAACUGGAGGAAGGUGGGGAUGACGUCAAGUCAUCAUGGCCCUUACGACCAGGGCUACACACGUGCUACAAUGGCGCAUACAAAGAGAAGCGACCUCGCGAGAGCAAGCGGACCUCAUAAAGUGCGUCGUAGUCCGGAUUGGAGUCUGCAACUCGACUCCAUGAAGUCGGAAUCGCUAGUAAUCGUGGAUCAGAAUGCCACGGUGAAUACGUUCCCGGGCCUUGUACACACCGCCCGUCACACCAUGGGAGUGGGUUGCAAAAGAAGUAGGUAGCUUAACCUUCGGGAGGGCGCUUACCACUUUGUGAUUCAUGACUGGGGUGAAGUCGUAACAAGGUAACCGUAGGGGAACCUGCGGUUG
rnacentral:rRNA from 1 species